rnacentral:rRNA from 1 species
GAUGAACGCUGGCGGCGUGCCUAACACAUGCAAGUCGAACGGAUUUUACUCGCUGCAGAGACUUCGGUCAAAGCUUGAGUAAAGUUAGUGGCGGACGGGUGAGUAACGCGUGGGCAACCUGCCUCAUACUGGGGGAUAACAGUUGGAAACGACUGUUAAUACCGCAUAAGCGCACAGCAUCGCAUGAUGCAGUGUGAAAAACUCCGGUGGUAUGAGAUGGGCCCGCGUCAGAUUAGCCAGUUGGCGGGGUAACGGCCCACCAAAGCGACGAUCUGUAGCCGGACUGAGAGGUCGGACGGCCACAUUGGGACUGAGACACGGCCCAAACUCCUACGGGAGGCAGCAGUGGGGGAUAUUGCACAAUGGAGGAAACUCUGAUGCAGCGACGCCGCGUGAGUGAAGAAGUAUUUCGGUAUGUAAAGCUCUAUCAGCAGGGAAGAAAGGCUCGCAAGAGAGAUGACGGUACCUGACUAAGAAGCCCCGGCUAACUACGUGCCAGCAGCCGCGGUAAUACGUAGGGGGCAAGCGUUAUCCGGAUUUACUGUGUGUAAAGGGAGCGCAGACGGUCAUGCAAGUCUGAAGUGAAACCCACGGCUCAACCGUGGGCUUGCUUUGGAAACUGUUUGACUAGAGUACUGGAGAGGUAAGCGGAAUUCCUAGUGUAGCGGUGAAAUGCGUAGAUAUUAGGAGGAACAUCGGUGGCGAAGGCGGCUUACUGGACAGCAACUGACGUUGAGGCUCGAAGGCGUGGGGAGCAAACA